AGGUGCUACAGACAGAACAUUUGGAAAACAGCACAGAAUACAGUCUUUACAUUUUCUAAAGCAAAGUGACCCGACGACAAAGAGGCGUGUUGAAGGUGGUGCAGCGGAAUGGCUUCGCUAGCUAGUGAAAAGGGGCGUGAAGCUGAAUGAGGCUUCCAAAUGUGGCAUAACACAAAGCAAAGAAGCCCAGGAGGAAGUGGACAAAGCCUCCCCUCCUCAACAACCCGACCCCCAUCACACCUCGUCCUUUUCUGAACCCUCCUCCCCCUCUUAACAACCCACCCCCCAUCAAUCCGCAUCCUCCUCCUUCUCCACCUCUCAAACCCCCUCCCCCCCUCAACAACCCGCUCCCCAUCAAUCCGCAUCCUUCUCUUCCUCCUCCUCCUCCCAAUCUAACCCCUCCUCUCAACCCCCCUCAAUCUGACCACCCCUCUCAAACCCCGUCACCCAUCCAACCUCCAACCCCUUUCAAGACCCUUCACCCAUACAACCUCCUUCCCCCAUACAACCUCCCAUCCCCUUUCAAUCCCCUUCCCCCAUCCAACCUCCCACCCCCUUUCAACCCCCUUCCCCCAGCCCAAGCCAACCAGGAGAGUGGGCAGCUGAGGAGGAGGUGGAUUGUGCUGUACAUCCUUCGG